UAUUGUAAGUCAAUUUCAGGAGAAAAAUGUCUAAUUUACAGUAAAUUUGGUUAACGGAGUACUGUUAGACACUGUAACGUUAUGUUUGAAGCUUGUUUUAGUUAGGAACAAUGUUUAAAAAGGGUCUAUUUUUAUUAUUAUUACUUUUUAUUAUUAUUAUUAUUUUAGAAAUGACACUGUAACGUUACGUUUGACGCUUGUUUUAGUUAGGAACAAUGGUAAUGCGAUGUAAUGUAGUGUGAUAUGGGACUAGGUCCAUUGCUAGCUUUUAACAGGUUAUCUAUUCAUUUUUUUCUUUUUUCUUUUUUCAGAAAUGCAAAAUCUAACAACAAGGUGCAGGUUUUGCAAUGCAUCAUGUGCCAAUGUGGAAAUCCAUUUGGCCAUGAUGCAUGGCGUAACCACAAUAGUGCAGCGAGUUCGAAAUAUACUGAGGACACAUGCAACACGUCACCUAUACUCUGGCCAGCUAUCGCCUUUUUGGACUCACACUCUUGCAUUGGAAUUAUUUGGCGAGGACUCCUGGGCUACAGUUACAAGGCCAAGGGGCCAGGAGGAGGAGGUGGUGAAGA